rnacentral:rRNA from 1 species
CCUACGGGAGGCAGCAGUGAGGAAUAUUGGUCAAUGGACGAGAGUCUGAACCAGCCAAGUAGCGUGAAGGAUGACUGCCCUAUGGGUUGUAAACUUCUUUUAUAUGGGAAUAAAACAGGGUAUGCAUACCCUCUUGUAUGUACCAUAUGAAUAAGGAUCGGCUAACUCCGUGCCAGCAGCCGCGGUAAUACGGGGGAUCCGAGCGUUAUCCGGAUUUAUUGGGGUUAAAGGGUGCGUAGGUGGAUUGUUAAGUCAGUUGUGAAAGUUUGCGGCUCAACCGUAAAAUUGCAGUUGAAACUGGCAGUCUGGAGUACGGUAGAGGUAGGCGGAAUUCGUGGUGUAGCGGUGAAAUGCUUAGAUAUCACGAAGAACUCCGAUUGCGAAGGCAGCUCACUGGACUGCAACUGACACUGAUGCUCGAAAGUGUGGGUAUCAAACAGGAUUAGAUACCCCGGUAGUC